rnacentral:rRNA from 1 species
GACGAACGCUGGCGGCGUGCCUAAUACAUGCAAGUAGGACGCAGUUGCGAACGGGUGAGUAACGCGUAGGUAACUGCCUAUUAGAGGGGGAUAACUAUUGGAAACGAUAGCUAAUACCGCAUACUAGUAGAUGGACCUGCGUUGUAUUAGCUAGUAGGUGGGGUCAUGGCCUACCUAGGCGACGAUACAUAGCCGACCUGGGAGGGGGGUCGGCCACACUGGGACUGAGACACGGCCCAGAAUCCUACGGGAGGCAGCAGGAGGGAAUCUUCGGACACGGGGGGAACCCUGACCGAGCAACGCCGCGUGAGUGAAGAAGGUUUUCGGAUCGGAAAGCUAUGUUGUUAAGGAAGCGGUACUUAACCAGAAAGGGACGGCUAACUACGUGCCAGCAGCCGCGGUAAUUC